UACGAAGGGGGCUAGCGUUGCUCGGAAUCACUGGGCGUAAAGCGCACGUAGGCGGCUUUUUAAGUCAGGGGUGAAAUCCUGGAGCUCAACUCCAGAACUGCCUUUGAUACUGAGAAGCUUGAGUCCGGGAGAGGUGAGUGGAACUGCGAGUGUAGAGGUGAAAUUCGUAGAUAUUCGCAAGAACACCAGUGGCGGAAGGCGGCCAACUGGUCCAUUACUGACGCUGAGGUGCGAA
rnacentral:rRNA from 1 species